GGUUAACGGUACAGAAGUGAUAUCAAGGAGAACUAACUGAGCUCCACAGGCUAAGGCUCUGAGUGAACAUCCUUUAGCACAAAUGAAGAGCAUGUUGGAGCUGAAAGAAGACACAGGACAAGGCAGAUAUCACAGGACAAGGCAGAUAUCUUUUGGGCUUUUAACUUGGAAGUAUACAAUGGAGUUUAAUGUGCUUUUCAUUUGUAACCUCAAAGUACUUCACAGAGAGUGGCUGGCAUCAGGAUCCCUCAUGAUAAUGAGCUUGAGCCCUGGGACCCUGGGUCCCUGCAGGGAUGUUGGGUAGGGUUUCAAAGGGGGUUAAAGAAGCAGGCAUCAAUCCACAAGGAUGGUGCAGCAGUGAGAACCCAAAUAUGUUGACCCUACUCUUUCAUAAUGUCCACACCUCUUGGGCUUGGAUUUGAUUCAGAACUCAGAUGAGGUCCUGUUUUUGGGAUGAAUGUGAGUGGUUUAGGGUCUUUCUGCACCUGCUGGGAGAGCUGUGCCCAGCAGUGAGCCAGGCCCCUUUCUGUUCUCUCACUAAUGGUGUGGAGAAUUGUUGCUUGCUGGUGAGAGAAGCAGGGGCACUGAAUUAAACUGACAGCUGAAACAGAGCCAUUAAAAGGGUGUGGUUCUUUGAAUAUGUGGUUCACGUGUGAAGAUCUUUGCUGCAGACACUGUAGGUGCUAUAUGCUUGCUCUCAUUGGCUUCAGAGGAGUCUGGACUAGUUUAGGGCAGGGAAACCUACUGAGGGUUAUAAAGACAUCAACAAUGGCUCAUGAAACCCUGGUUGCAGUGUGCUAGAGGGAAUUUUAUGGUUUUCUGGAUAUUCCAGAUAUAUAUUUGAUAUUUGGUCUCUGAAGAACAGGCACCCUCUAGUUUCUUCCCAUCACUGAUGGACUAAAGGGUCCUGGCUAGAUGGACCUUUGAUGUAACCAAGGAUAGCUGACCAUAAAUUCUUAUGUCAACUUGAUCUGUAAUUGUUACAUCAGAAAUUCUGGCAUGAACUGAUGAUUAGUGUAAAAGUUGACACUGUUUUGUUUAUCUGGGUGAAAGCUUCAACUGUGAUUGCUAAACAGAGACUGCUGCAAAUCUGCUCCAAAUAUAAAAUCCCACCUGUAAAAUGUAUUAAAAUUCUGAGCCAGAA